rnacentral:rRNA from 1 species
UACGAAGGGGGCUAGCGUUGCUCGGAAUCACUGAGCGUAAAGCGCACGUAGGCGGGUUCUUAAGUCGGUGGUGAAAUCCUGGAGCUCAACUCCAGAACUGCCUCCGAUACUGAGAGCCUCGAGUCCGGGAGAGGUGAGUGGAACUGCGAGUGUAGAGGUGAAAUUCGUAGAUAUUCGCAAGAACACCAGUGGCGAAGGCGGCUCACUGGCCCGGUACUGACGCUGAGGUGCGAAAGCGUGGGGAGCAAACAGG